rnacentral:lncRNA from 1 species
AAGAAAAAUUCCAUUAGUGUUAUGUUAGCAACUAUACUAAUGGAUACCAAUUUGGUUGGCAAAUCCAAUAGUAUAUUUUUAAAAAUACAUUGGCAAUCGGUUGGUAAUUUUGUCUAUAGAAAAGUUCUAUUUAGUAAAUUGUAGGCAAUUUACAAACAAAUUUCAAAUUCGUUAACAAAUAUGGUUAUAAUAAUUAUAUUAAUAUUCAUUUAAAGCUUUAAAAGAUCCCAAAAAAACGAAAACAAAAUA